CCCAUAUUUAUCACGGUAAUAAUACAAAACCAAUGGUGUCCAUUUCUCAAUUGUAGAGGACAAAUACGUCUUCUAAAUAGAGGUAGUCCAGAACUUCCUGCUCCGGUCAAGGGUUCCGUCGAUAUUCUCUCUCAAAUUUUCCCGCAAAAAUUCGAGAGAAAAUGGAUGGGAAAAUGGAAAUCUCUCUAGACAAGCUCCCAAUCAAACGCUUGGACGCCAUUGAAGAAAAUGGCGCCGAACGGUUCCCUACUGAUGUAGGUUACGACGACAAGCGGGUGUCACUAAUUCGGCGAAUUGACUUCGCAUGGGCUGUGGAGAAGGACACGAAGAAGCAGAAGAAGGCGUCGAAGGAGGAGGCAACGCCAUGGCCGUGGCAGAGCCUGGUGGAGAAUUUGCGGUUGGCUCAUCAAGAGCUUUCUGUCAUAAUUGAUCUGAUCAGCACUGUUGAAGCUAAUGAUGCAGUAACAGUGGCUAGCAUGACGAGGCCAAAGCCAUUACCCAAUGAAGUUCUUUCUGACCUUGGCGUGUCUGCUGCAACCAAGCUACAAUGCUUCAGGCAUCUUAGUAAAUAUUUCAAGCAGUCCGCCAAAGCUUUGGAACAGCAGAUUGCUAGGGAGGCGAGAUUCUACGGCGCUCUCAUCAGAUUGCAGCAAAACUGGAAAGUUAAGCGGCAACGUGUGGCUGCUUCUGCUCCUGGGAAUGAAGGUUUCUCUAUUGAUCUCUUCAGCAAUUCAUUACAUGAUCCAGUAGCUGUAUUUCGCCCAUCUUCUUUAUCUACAGUUCGUGUUGACCAUGAUUCUGCUGGCAUGCUGGCUGUCCAUUUACCUCCAAAUUCAUGUCGCGCUCUUCAUUUUGGGUUUCUUGGUGGACAUUUGGGUAAUAUUCCAAAGGAGCCUAGUAAAACAAAAACUCAUGGUCCAGAUGAGCUUCCUUCUAAGGAAAUUAAGAAACCUUUGAGUGAUAAUGAGUGUGUUAAAGAAACCCAUUCAGUUCUCCGCGAAGGUCAUCAGGCAAUCUUUGAUGAGCAGGUUUUUGAUUUAGUGAAUCGCGAAGCAUUCAACUCAUCAUCAGGAGUCAAUGUGACUGGAAUACGAGAAAACUAUUUACAACUGAACAUAGGUCAAGGAGCCUCUGUUUUCAUGUCACUUGUGCCAUCUGGACAAGAUGACAAAACAGCCGAUGGCAUGGGAAUGCAGAAUCUUGAAAGUGCCAUUUUACCCAUGGACACAUUUGAUGGGGUGAAAUUAUCAGAUGGAAAACAUGAUAAUGAUAAAAAGAAGUCAGGGUUUCCCAAUCGCAUUAGUAGUGAAAUAUAUCUGAAGCAACUCUUUCAUGAGCAUGUAUUUGUUAGAGCAAAGGAUAAACACAUUUCUGCUGGCAGGACUCAGCCUUCCAGUCAGCCAGCAAAGGAUGGCUUUGGUCUUCUGGGUCAUUUUUGCAUGUCUCUAGCUCAUAGAAUCUUUUCAAGCAAAGUUCUUAUGGAGUUGGAAAAUCUGGUUUCCAGAGUUCCAUAUCUUCAUUUGUUAUCCCAUCCCACUUGGCAUUCUAGGACAUCUUCAUGGACACUCUUAAUGAAGGUUCCUGAGUCCAGUUUUCAUCCAGGCUGCCAAACCCGGACAUCAGACAUCCACAAUGUUAAGAAUAUUAUCAAGACACAUUUUCGGACUAAGGUGGUGAUAAACGAUGAUUGUAUCAAUGUUGAGGGGGAUGGUGCUCCUAAUGUUGUUGGCCUGUUCAAAGGGAGUUCCGAGGAUGUGUGUUCCAUGAACAGAUAUGACUGUGACUUGGCAGAUAUUCCUGUGAUACUUUUGCAGCAGGUUGCAAGUCAAGUUAUCCGCUGGCUUCAUGAGGAAGCUCUUAAGGUGGGAAUAAAGGCAAAUCGGGACUUUUUAUGCUUGUCCUUUGAGAUGGACCAGGGUGAAAUGCUCAGCCUGGUGGCUCAUGUGAACCCAGAUGAUCCCCAAGGAUGCAUUUCUUGGUGGCUGGUAAUGGAUGAUGGGUUCUCAGAGGACCUCAAAUUUCACACAGAUGCCCCUGAUGGUGGGUCUGAAUAUAGGAAAUUCUUGGGUCAUUUGUCUUUGGAAGUUUUGUACUCAACACUGAUGGACUUGGUUAGCUUGUGCAACGGUGGAGGGAGGCAUUGAUUUUGGAUUUUGCUUAUGUUCCUUGCUGCAUCAAAGGAGAAAGCUACAGGAUGCUAGAUUCAUCUCCCGCUAGCCACUGGUAUCGUCUCAUAUGCAACAACCACUGAACCACUGCUGCAGGAAAAUGAUAGCAGAAAACAGCAGGCCCCCACAAGGACUGAUGACAUCCCAAGUAGUUGAGUAAAGUAGUUGGGUAAAAAUCUGCACAUGUAACUGUGAAGAUCAUGGACAUGGGAGUAAUCUGAUUAAAGUAGUUGGAUAUAGGAAAAAUGAGAAAGAGUUUGGUCGCUUUGAGUUUAUGAACAUAUUGAGCAGGAUGUGAGGGAAAAGGAAAGUAUCAACCACCAACCCAGCAUAAGAUUCCCAAGUCCCACCCAAGGGAAUGUUGCUGGUAAUUCAUAAGCUAAGAAAAAGCCGUUUUGUGCUUACCCCAGUUCAGAAACCAAGUAAUUAAGAAGCCAUCCGCAUAUAAUGGAGAAGACGGAAUUGUAACUGGAAAAUUACCCUCACAAACAGAUUGCCCACUGGCUAUGACUUCCCAAGAGUAAGGCAUUAAAGUCUAGAACAAAAGGGAUCACGUAAAGGAGAGUAAUUAGGAGCAUGAUUAGUGAGAUGGAAGGAAGCACAUUGGGUUGCUUUUUCAAAGGAAAGGGUUGCAGGUUCACAACGACAAAUGCAAGGGUGAUAGAUAUCAGAACCAUGAUGAUCUCCAAACCCAUGACUUCCUUGCUUCAACCACGGUUAAUGCAGUUGAAGACAGUCCAGACGUUGGAAGCCAAGAAGGUCAGAUUUGGCCCAUGUGGCUUUCAAUGCUUCCACUUGAUAUAUAUACCUUUCAUUCUUGGAGGUUAAUGGAGGGAACUGAGGAUUCACAAAGAACCUCACAAUCCAUAAGAGUCAUUUGUUGAUAUCUGAAUCUGAAUCUCUGAGCUCCGCUUUCUACAGCCAACCAUUCGCACAACUCCUGUUCCGACGUCAUGGAUCCCUUGGGCAGAAAAUCUACUUUCAUUUCAUAUGCCUAUCUAAAGAUGAGCUAAAUGGGGUGAUGAAACCUCAUCAUAAUUUGUAACCUGAAUUGCCUUUAUGUUCAUGAAAUGUUCCCCACCAAAA